CUUAGUGACCUAAAGCAACAGGUACUGUUACAUCACAGCCUUUGUGGCUCAGGAGUUCAGACCUUGAUCCCUGUUGAGGUCUGACAAGGCCACAGUCACCGUGUCAGCUGGCAGAGAGCUCACCUUCUAGACACUUUACAACUUUGCUUUUGCUUCUUCAAGAUUCGCUGUCCGCACUUUCCCUUCCGUGGGUUCGGGUCACUGCCAACCGGAAGCCGCGGAUCCUCCUUCUGACGAAUCUGCAGACGGUCAAUAGGGGCCUAAAGCUCCGUCGGGACGCCUGGUCGUUUACCUGACGUCAUCUCAGCCCCGAGAGGAGACGAGGGGACGUCAUCCUGCGCCGUCACCAGAGGAAGAUACCAGAAGUGUUCUAUAGAGUAGCUGUCGCAUCGCUAUGGGGCUCAGAGUGAGGAAGAUCUUGGAACAGAGCCCCUGGGUAGCCCGUCUGCAGUGGAUACAUAGCACAGAGUGAGGAACAAACUUCUGGGAAUUUCAGGUUUCUUUGUUUCCUCCGUAUCACCUGAGUUAUCCAGUCUGCUACAAAGGAUCCGAAAAUUACGAUAAGUUCAUUAAAGCAUAUUGGAGAGUGUGAAAUGAGGGGAGUGACGUUGGGCUCACAUGUUCUAGACAACAAGGAAGGACCUUCUGCAGCAUUUCUCACUCUUGCCACAGGAUGAGGAACAGAAGGGAAAAGAAUGGACCUGGGGUCAUGUGGGGCACUGACUCCGGAUGGCGGUGCUGACAGGUCAGGUCAUCUCCGUGUACAGAUCAUGCUGGUUGCCAAGGGUGGUUUACAGCCUAAUUCUUUAGGGCCUGACGGAGCAUGGAAAUCAACUAGAAGCAAGAGGAAGAG